UCAUAUUAUUAUCAAAGCAUAAUUUCUGAUUUUUAUAUUUCUAUUUUUUUCUUAAUUACAAAAAUUCCUUUUCUUUUCUUUUUUACUUUCUUGAUUUUAUUUUUAAACCCUAUUUUUUCUUUGUGAUCUGAUACGCGAGACGUCUUCUCAGACGUUGUUUUCUUCUCAACUCCUCUCACCCUUCCUUCACCCUCUCACCUCCUCUUCAAUUGAUCAACGUCUUCUCAAUUUGAUUUCAGUUUCCUAGCAAGCAUCAUCAACAAAAGCUCUGCCUAAACGUGGUGCUUAAGGAAUGGAACAAUCGUCCAAUGAAUCGGAGAACAUUAUUCUCACUAAUGAUCAAGAUAUGUUGUUUAUAUUAAAAUUUUCUUGAGAUAAUUAAGAUUUUUGUUUUGCUGGCACAUAUGUGAUGUCAAUCCAAAGAGAGUUCGUAUAAACAAUUUAAUGGAAAACUGAUGGAAGGUAAAGCAUGUAAUGUAGUUCGAGUGUAAAUGGUGACCAAGCAGAGCUAACCAAUGACUGAAGCUUGAUUUCACUUGAAUUUACUGGAAUGGAUAUUUU